GUGUGACCCCAGGAUGGGCGGGGUGACCCGCUGAGUUUAAGCAUAUCAAUAAGCGGAGGAGAAGAAACUUACAAGGAUUCCCUUA
rnacentral:rRNA from 2 species